UUUUAUGACUGGAGUUUUCACUUUGUAAAGAUACCAGUGCCACCUAGAGGUAGCAACCUGUAACUUGCUUUGCUGCUUGGAUAAUAAAAUAUAUAUGUUGGAGGUUUUAUCAGUGAGAAUAAGGGUAACUGUUAACUGGACGCUUACAUUGAUGUAAUUAAAAUCUCCAAUACACUAUAUAGAUCUAUGCAAAUAUAAUUUAAAUUAUAGAAUCUUCUCAAUGGGUUUAGGCAGAGAAUAGUCUGCAUUCAUACCUUGACAAGUG